UACGAAGGGGGCUAGCGUUGCUCGGAAUCACUGGGCGUAAAGCGCACGUAGGCGGACUCUUAAGUCAGGGGUGAAAUCCUGGAGCUCAACUCCAGAACUGCCUUUGAUACUGAAGAUCUUGAGUUCGGGAGAGGUGAGUGGAACUGCGAGUGUAGAGGUGAAAUUCGUAGAUAUUCGCAAGAACACCAGUGGCGAAGGCGGCUCACUGGCCCGAUACUGACGCUGAUGCACGAAAGCGUGGGGAGCAAACAGG
rnacentral:rRNA from 1 species